AUGGAGGUCGUCACGGGUGCCAUGGGCAGCCUGCUCCCCAAGCUGGGCCAGCUGCUCAUGGAUGAGUACAACCUGCUCAAGCGCGUCAAGAAAGACGUCCGAUUUCUGUCCAUGGAGCUUGAGAGCAUGCAUGCUGCCCUCAUCAAGGUUGGUGCCAUGCCGCGGGACCAGCUCGACACGCAAGUCAAGCUCUGGGCCGAUGAAGUCAGAGAGCUCUCCUACAACAUGGAGGAUGUCGUCGACAAGUUCCUCGUACGCGUUGAAGGUAUUCAGCAGCCUAACGACAACACCGGCAAAUUCAAGGAGCUCAAGAACAAGAUGGUCAGAUUGUUCAAGAAAGGCAAGAAUCACCAUCGGAUAGCUGACGCCGUCAAGGAAAUCAAGGAGCAACUCCAGGAGGUGGCUGCUAGGCGUGGCAGGAACAAGCUCGAUGGUAUUGCUUUUAAUCCCACAGAAGCAAUUGCUAUCGAUCCUCGGCUUCGGGCAUUGUACACAGAAGCGACAGAGCUGGUGGGCAUUUAUGGAAAGAGAGAUGAAGACCUCUUAAGUUUGCUCUCCAUUGAGGGUGACGAUGCAUCUAACAAGAAACUGAAGAAGAUCUCCAUUGUUGGAUUUGGAGGGUUGGGAAAGACCACUCUUGCUAGAGCAGUAUAUGACAAGAUUAAAGGUGAUUUUGAUUGUCGGACAUUUGUCCCCGUCGGUCAGAACCCUGAUGUCAAGAAGGUUUUCAGGGAUAUCCUUAUUGAUCUCGGAAAAUCCCACUCAGAUGUUGUCAUGUUGGAUGAAAGGCAGCUUAUCAACAAGCUUCAUGAAUUCCUCGAGAACAAGAGGUAUCUGGUCAUAAUUGAUGAUAUAUGGGAUGAAAAAUUGUGGGAAGGCAUCAACUUGGCUUUCUCUAACAGGAAUAAUCUAGGCAGUCGGCUAAUCACCACAACCCGCAUUGUUAGUGUCUCCAAUUCAUGUUGCUCGUCGGCUAAUGAUUCGAUUUAUCAAAUGAAACCUCUUUCUACUGAUGAUUCCAGAAGGCUCUUCAAUAAGAGAAUAUUUCCCGACAAGAGUGGAUGUCCAAAUGAAUUUGAACAAGUGUCCAAAGAUAUAUUGAAAAAAUGUGGUGGAGUACCACUGGCCAUCAUUACUAUUGCUAGUGCUUUGGCUAGUGGCCAGAAGGUGAAACCAAAGCAUGAGUGGGAUAUUAUGCUCCAGUCCCUUGGCUCCGGACUAACAAAAGAUAACAGUUUGGUUGAGAUGCGGAGAAUACUAUGUUUCAGCUAUUAUAAUCUGCCGUCUCAUCUGAAAACUUGUCUACUUUACCUAUGUAUAUAUCCAGAAGAUAGCACAAUUGAUAGAGAUGGACUGAUAUGGAAGUGGGUGGCCGAAGGAUUUAUCCACCAUGGAGAUCAAGGGACUAGCCUGUUUUUGCUUGGAUUAAAUUACUUCAACCAGCUCAUUAAUAGAAGUAUGAUCCAGCCAAUAUAUGAUAGUUUAGGCCAGGUAUAUGCUUGUCGUGUGCAUGAUAUGGUUCUGGACCUUAUCUGCAGCUUGUCACAUGAAGCAAAGUUUGUUAAUGUAUUGCAUGGCACUGGGAAUAGCAUAUCUUCACAAAGUAAUGUCCGCCGUCUGUCCCUUCAGAAUAAAGUGGAAGAUCAUCAAGCCAAGCCUCUCACAAAUAUCAUGAGUAUGUCACGAGUGAGGUCAAUUACUAUCUUUCCACCUGUUGUUAGUAUGAUGCCAAGUCUGUCAAUGUUUGAAGUUCUGCGUGUACUUGAUCUGUCGGAUUGUAAUCUGGGAGAAAGUAGCAGCCUGCAGCUUAACCUCAAGGGUGUUGGACAUUUAAUCCACCUAAGGUACCUUGGUCUAGCAGGUACUCAAAUUAGUGAACUCUCGACUGAGAUAGGAAACCUGCAAUUUUUGGAGGUGUUGGAUCUUGCAAGGAAUCGUACGCUAGAUGAAUUGCCUUCCACUCUUUUUAAAUUGAGAAGAUUAAUCUACCUAAAUGUUUAUCUCAGUGAGGUGGUUCCAACUCCUGGUGUGUUGCAGAAUCUUACAUCCAUUGAAGUGUUCAGGGGGCUCUUGGUCUCUCUGAACAUCAUUGCACAAGAGCUUGGCAACUUGGCAAGGCUGAGGGAGCUUCAGAUUCGCUUCAAGGAUGGUAGUUUGGAUUUGUAUGAAGGUUUCGUGAAGUCUCUGUGCAACCUACAUCACAUCGAAAUUCUAAUUAUUGGUAACAAUUCGGAAGAAACAUCUUUUGAACUGAUGGAUCUCUUGGGAGAACGCUGGGUGCCUCCUGUACAUCUCCGCAAAUUUGUGUCUUCCAUGCCCAGCCAACUCUCUGCACUGCGAGGGUGGAUAAAGAGAGACCCCUCUCAUCUCUCGAACCUCUCUGAGUUAAUCCUUAUGCGAGUGAAGGAAGUGCAGCAGGAGGACAUGGAAAUCAUUGGGGGUUUGCUGUCCCUUUGCCGGCUCCGCAUAAAGAUCACCCACCAAACACAAUGGCUGCUAGUUAUCCCUGCAGAUGGGUUCCGCUGUAUGGUAGACUUUAAGCUGGAUUGUGGAUCAGCAGCGCAGAUAAUGUUUGAAUCAGGUGCUUUGCCCAGGGUGGAAGAAGUUUGGUUCAGUCUGGGCGUGCGGGUGGCGAAAGAGGAUGGUAACUAUGGUUUCGACUUGGGCCUGCAGGGGAACCUGCUCUCCAUUCGGCGGCAUGUUAUUGUUUUUCUGUAUCCUGGUGGAGCGAGGGUUGGGGAGGCAAAGGAAGCCAAGGCUGCAGUGAGGCACGCACUUGAAGCCCGUCCCAACCAUCCCCCGAUUAUAAUUGAUAUGGUCCCACUUAUAGCAGUAGGUGCGCAUGAUGAUGAUAUGUGUGAGGAGAACUGA
rnacentral:rRNA from 1 species